CGCAGCCAUAGAGCGGCGUUCUCGCGGCUAGAGUGGCACCGCAGCAAAGAACGUGUAGCUUGCCUAGAGCGUCUCCCCGGCGUUUGGAGUGGGACCUGGCACAGUCCGUGGUCUUAGGGCUUCUGGGCCAGACUAAACCUCCGAAGGAGGAAGAGAAACCAAAGACUUCUGAAAACGACUCCAAGAACAGCAAGGCCGUGAACACAAAAGAAGUCAAUAGAACGCAUGCCUGCUUUGCCCUCCAGGACGAGAUCCUCCAACGGCUGUUGUUCAGUGAAAUGAAGAUGAAGGUCCUAGAAAAUCAGAUGUUCAUCAUAUGGAAUAAAAUGAAUCACCACGGGCGGUCAAGCAGACAUCGGAAUUUUCCCAUGAAAAAACACAGAAUGAGGAGGCAUGAGUCAAUUUGCCCCACCCUGUCUGACUGUACUUCGAGUUCCCCCAGCUAAUGAGGCCGAGGCGGGCUGGCCUCUGCCGAUGUUACCUUUUACCUCAGUAAAACCCAGUCACAGCCUA
rnacentral:lncRNA from 1 species